rnacentral:rRNA from 1 species
GAUCAUGGCUCAGGAUGAACGCUGGCGGCGUGCUUAACACAUGCAAGUCGAACGAAGCACUUCAUAAAGCUUGCUUUAAGAAGUGACUUAGUGGCGGACGGGUGAGUAACGCGUGGGUAACCUGCUUUACACAGGGGGAUAACAGUUAGAAAUGACUGCUAAUACCGCAUAAAACAGACAGUAGUCGACAUAGUACUACUAACUGUAACAAAGUAUUUAACGUCGGUAGUAAGAGUCGGACCCGUCGU